rnacentral:rRNA from 1 species
UGCGCAGCCUUAAACUUUGUUAGACAAUUACAAUAUUUACCCGCCAGGGGACUACGAGCAUAAGCUUAAAACCCAAAGGACUUGGCGGUGCUUUAGACCCACCUAGAGGAGCCUGUUCUAUAACCGAUAAUCCCCGUUAAACCUCACCUUCUUUUGUUUUUUCCGCCUAUAUACCGCCGUCGUCAGCUUACCCUGUAAAGGACUAUCAGUAAGCAAAAUUGAUAUUAUCCAAAACGCCAGGUCGAGGUGUAGCAUAUAAGAAGGAAAGAAAUGGGCUACAUUUUCUGAUUCAGAAAAUAACGGAAAUUGCCAUGAAACAGCACAUAUAAGGAGGAUUUAGCAGUAAGCAGAGAAUAGAGAGCUCUACUGAAACUGGCCCUGAAGC